AGCGUAGGCGGACAUUUAAGUCAGAGGUGAAAUCCUGGAGCUUAACUUCGGAACUGCCUUUGAUACUGGGUGUCUUGAGUGUGAGAGAGGUAUGUGGAACUCCGAGUGUAGAGGUGAAAUUCGUAGAUAUUCGGAAGAACACCAGUGGCGAAGGCGACAUACUGGCUCAUUACUGACGCUGAGGCUCGAAAGCGUGGGGAGCAAACA
rnacentral:rRNA from 1 species